rnacentral:lncRNA from 1 species
GAUACGGGGAGGAUAUGGGGUGGGAUGUGGGGUAGGACAUGGGGAUGAAUAUGGGAUAGGAUAUGGGGAUGGCAUGGGAGGACAUGGGGAUGGAUAUGGGGUGGGAUAUGGGGAUGGAUAUGGGGAGGACAUGGGGAGGAUAUAGGGAUGGAUAUGGGGCAGGAUGUGGGGACGGAUAUGGGGUGGGACAUGGGGAUGGAGAUGGGCUAGGAUGUGGGGAUGGAGGUGGAGAUGGAGAUGGAGAUGGGAAGGAUAGGGGAUGGAUAUGGGGAGGACACGGGGAUGGAUAUGGGGUGGGAUAUGGGGUAGGAUAUGGGGAUGGAUGGGGGUAGGAUAUGGGGAUGGAUAUGGGAUAGGAUAUGGGGAUGGAUAUGGGGAGGACAUGGGGUAGGACAUGGGGAAGAUAUAGGGAUGGAUAUGGGGUGGGAUAUGGGGUAGGACAUGGAGAGGACAUGGAGACGGAUAUGGGAUGCACAUGGAUAUGGGGAGAACAUGGGGUAGAACAUGGGGAGGACAUGGGGAGGAUAUGGGGAUGGAUAUGGGGAUGAAUAUGGGGCAGGACAUAGGGUAGGACAUGGGGAUGGAUAUGGGACAGGAUAUGGGGUAGGACGUGGACGUGGGGUGGGACAUGGGGAUGGACAUGGGGGAGGACAUGAAGGUGGGCAUGGAAUAGAACGGGGCAGGACAUGGGGAGGACGCGGGGUGGGACAUGGAGCUGGACAAGGGGAGGGCAUGAGGAUGGACGUGGGAUUGAGUGGGGCUGGAUGUGGGGUCGGACAGGUGUGGAGGUGGAGAGGACGUGGGGAGGGCAUGGGGCAGGACGUGGAGGUGGGGAGGGAAAGGAGAUGGACGUGGGGAGGACGUGGAGGUGGAUACAGGAAGGACAUGGAGAUGGGGAGGGACGUGGGGAGGACGUGGUGAUGGGAAAGGACGUGGAGAUGGACGUGGAGAUGGAAGGGAAAUGGAGAUAAACAUGGGGAGGACAUGGAGAUGGACGUGGAGGUGAGGAGGAAAAGGAGAUGGAGAUGGGGAGGAUGUGGAGAUGGAUACAGGAAGGACAUGGAGAUGGAGAAGGACAUGGAGAUGGGGAGGACAUGGGGAUGGACAUGGAGAGAAUGUGGUGAUGGGAAAGGAUGUGGAG